rnacentral:rRNA from 1 species
UACGGAGGGUGCGAGCGUUGUCCGGAAUCAUUGGGCGUAAAGGGCGCGUAGGCGGCCACCGCAAGUCGACUGUGAAAUCUCCGGGCUUAACCCGGAAAGGUCAGCCGAUACUGCGGGGCUAGAGUGCAGAAGGGGCAACUGGAAUUCUCGGUGUAGCAGUGAAAUGCGUAGAGAUGUGGAGGAACACCGAUGGCGAAGGCAACCCCCUGGGUCAAGAUUGACGCUCAUGCACGAAAGCGUGGGGAGCAAACAGG